UCUGAAGAUGCCACAUCAUCUCACUCUAAAUUCUCAAAAAAAACCCAUCAAUUCAUUCCAAAUCAUGCCACAUCAGCUUUCGCAAAUACCUCUUCCUCUCCUCCUCAAAAAAACGUUACGCCACAAGACCCUAAUAAAUCAAAGUUUGAAACCUAAAACCUAUCGUCUUUCACAAUGCUACGAUCUCUUUGGUUUCAAACUUCGUUCAUAUCCUAUGGUUUCCCACUCUCUCAGUCAAUCAAAGUAUCAUUUUCAAAUCGGAAGACUGUCAUCUCUGAGACAAGGGAUCGAUAGUAUGAUCGCUAGCUGCAUAGGCAGCCAAAAACUAUCUGGUCCGACGGGAACAUGUUGCAGACGAGGGAUGUGGGGAAAUCGGAUCGUGCUGAUCGUGAGAUGUUGGUUCGUCAAGUUCUUGCGAUAGCUAUUAGGAUAAUUACAAGUUUCUUUCUGCUAUUAUGGAACGGCUUGAUAGAGUUGGAAUGCAGGUUCCGAAAAUUUAAGAAUGGUUUCAGAAUUAGAAUCUUCAAGCUGAUGUUCAAGCUGCUACAAGAGCUUCGUCCACUUUGGUUAAUGCCUCUCGUGAUUUUGUUGAGCGUGUCUUCAUGAUUACAAUAAACAUACCUAGAACACAAACUAACGAUUUUGAAAGAUAUCAUUGAGAUUACCAAACCAAGAAGUAGUCACAUGCAUGUGUCUUAAUGGUUUGUAAGUUGAUCAUAUGGGAAGGAUCGUAUGAUGCAUCUUGAGCCUUGGUUGGAUUUUCCUUUACCUGAAGAGGAAGGCAACUUUGAUGUCCAGCAAAACCAUGAAAGAAUCAGAAAAAUACUACUACGAUUCGGAUUCCUGCAGGAUAUGAUUUCCAUUGUGUGAGGCCUUCCAUAUGAAGCAAUCAAGUUUUUUACGUGUAUGCUUUUGUGAAACUUGCAAAUAAGUUACAUGAUAAUCAUAGGCUAUUAUAGAAAACAAUAUCCCAAGUAGUGUGUUUGUAGAGUAAGCAAUAUCCAUGCCUUUACCACAUGAGUAGCGCGGCAAGGAUCGGUUUCUGUGGCCUACAAGCCAUGAUAUAUAUGGGGUUAAGUUCUCUUCUCAUCACACCUGGGACCAGAUUCGAGAGCACCACCUUUUAGUACCUUGGAGAUUAGUACAUAUACAUUUUCAGUACCCGUUUAUGAAUUACACAUUUACACAUUUUAACAUAAACAAAAAAAAUGUAGAGUACGCAAUCUUCAAUUAU